CGGGGUGUAGCGCAGUCCGGUUAGCGCACCUGCUUUGGGAGCAGGGGGUCGUGGGUUCGAAU
rnacentral:tRNA from 1 species